GACGAACGCUGGCGGCGUGCUUAACACAUGCAAGUCGAACGGAAAGGCCCGGCUCUUGCUGCGUGCUCGAGAGGCGAGCGCGGGUGUGAAACGCGAGUAUCCCGCCCCUGUCUGUGGGGGAUCUUCAGGGGAAACCGGCUAUUAUCCCAUAUGAGCUCCUGCUCCGCGGGGGUGGUUGGAGAAUGUCGGCGGUUGUGGAUGGACUCGCGGGUUAUCAGCUUGUUGGGGUGGUAGUGGCUUUCCAAGGCUUUGACGGGUAGCCUGCCUGAGAGGGUGACCGGCCACAUGGGGACUGAGAGACGCCACAGACUGGAACGGGACGCAGCAGUGGGGAAUAUUGCAGAAUGGGCGGAAGCGUGAUGCAGCAGCGCCGCGUGCGGGAUGACGGCCUUCGGGUUAAAAACCGCUUUGGACUGAACCGAAGCGUGAGUGACGGUAACGGGUCAAGAAGCACCGGCUAACUACGUG
rnacentral:rRNA from 1 species